CAUAUAAUAAUCUAGACGGCAUGUCUCAUGUAAAUGAAAUGAUAGUUUUUAGAACUAAUGAUAUUUGCAUCUAGGUUUACCUAACCUAGACUCAAUAACUAAGACACAUAUCUAAUACACUAGUUUAGACAUGAAGCUCUUGAGUCUUUGGCAUGUUGAUUAGUUGAGUUAUCUUUAAGCUUUCACUAAUUCCGUUGUCUUCAUCAAAACAUAGGUAAGCUAAUAGUGCUAUCUUGACACUUUGCACUUUCACUA
rnacentral:lncRNA from 1 species